rnacentral:lncRNA from 1 species
UUUUCUCACUUUUCAAGCAUUUGUGGGUCCCAAGGUAAUACAACUUUCAAUUAAUUCUGACAAUAUACAUUCCUCAUGGCGUCAAAAAAUGGAAGUGACAGUUGCCAUAUUUUUAAGUCCCUAUCAAUGCCCUUAAAUUUUUGUGUGUUGGGUGGCACGUGUACAUUUCCAAGUAAAAUCCAAGGGCAAAAUAGACAGUCCAUUCUCAAUGGCAUUUCACUUAAAAAAUACAUUCUGACUCAAUUCUGACCUCUUGUCAUGAAUUGUCAUGUCGCUACUGUGUAAAAAUGAUUAAAAUGAGUGUCCAACGGGGGCUUGUCAAUGGUUUGUUAUGUAUUAUUUUUAUUCUAUAAUUUUUACCAAAAUACAAUAGGAAG